rfam:Myotis lucifugus cont2.34249, whole genome shotgun sequence.
GGCAGUUAUUGGGUGAUGCACCCUGGAAUAGGGCUCCCUCCUCUCUGGUUGCAUGUGCGUUACCCGAGAACUGCA